UCAGGACCUGGGAGAGAAAAAAGCUACCAGCAACAUUCAGACUGAGAGAGGCCAAAAUACUAAUUCAUAAUUAGCCUGGUACAUAUGAAGGAUCAAAAAGAACAGGACUGUAUGUCUGACCUCUGACAGGCCCUACCACCAUAGUAGAGACUCAGUAUGUAUACUUAAUGAAGGAAUAAUGAAUACAUCAGCAAGAGAAAUAAGAGUGACCAUAUGUUCCUUAAGAGAAGCAAAGAGCAGCUCCUGUUCCUGGAUCUUAAGAAAAAUCAAGAAACCAAGUUGAGAAACUAAGAAAAAAAGAAAAACUGUUUACUUCUCCCAUAAUUAUUAAAGACUAACAAUCAACGUGGAGGCAUUACUGGUUAGAAGGAGUUCACUGAUGUCUAGUUGAAAGCAAGACAUUUGGUGGCUGGAGGUUAAGGCCAACAUUUCCAGGAACCUAAACAAGACAUAGAGGAGAAAAGCAAGAACCAUCUCAUCAGUCAGUCUUGCUAUAACUGUUGUCUUGUUAUGAACAGUUGCUCAUGGCCCUGUCUGCUGCUACUGGGAGUUUGCGCUGUCGCCCCAAGCUGGAGUGCAAUGGAGCGAACAAGGAUCACUGCAACCUCUACCUCCUGCGUUCAAGCGAUUCUCCUGCCUCAGCCUCCUGAUUAGCUGGGAUUACAGGCGUCUGCCACCACGCCCAGCUAAUUUUUGUACUUUUAGUAGAGAUGGGGUUUGACCAUGUUGGCCAGGCUAGUUUUGUACUCCUGACCUCAAGUGCUGGGAUUAUAGGCAUGCGCCACAACGCCCAGCCUUGAAAAGAUAACAUUGGAAAAACUCUUCUGGACAUUGGCUUAGGCAAAUUCAUGACAAAGACCCCAAAAGCAAAUGCAACAAAGACAAAAAUAAAUAAAUUGAAUAAAUUAGAGCUAAUUAAACUGAAAAGCUUCUGCAGAGCAAAAGAAAUAAUCAGCACAUUAAAGAGAAAACCCACAGAGUGGAAGAAAAUAUUCACAAAGUAUGCAUCUGACAAAGGACUAGUAUCCAGAAUCUACAAGAAACUCAAACAAAUCAGCAAGAAAAUGACAAUUCCAUCAAAAAGUGGGCAAAAGACAUGAACAGCCAUUUUUCAAAAGAAGAUAUACAAACAGCCAACAAAUGAAUGAGAAAUGUUCAACAUCAGUGAAAUACAAAUUAAAACCACGAUGAGAUACCACGUAACUCCUGCAAGAAUGGCUAUAAUUCAAAAGUUAAAACCAUAGAUGUUGGUGUGGAUGUGAUGAAAAGGGAACACUUACACACUGCUGGUGUGAAUGUAAAUUAGUACAACCUCUAUGAAAAACAGUAUGGUGAUUCCUUAAAGAACUGAAAGUAGAUCUACCAUUUGAUCCAGCAAUCCCACUACUGGGUAUCUACCCAAAGGAAAAGAAGUCAUUACAUGAAAAAGACACAUGUACACGCAUGUUUAUAGCAGCACAAUUCACAGUUGCAAAGAUAUGGAACCGGCCUAAAUGCCCAUCAACCAAUGAGUGGAUAAAGAAAAUGUGUAUAUAUACAACAUGGAAUACUACUAGGCCAUAAAAAAGAACGAAAUAAUUUCUUUUGCAGCAACUUGGAUGGAGCUGGAGGCCAUUAUUCUAAAUGAGGUAACCCAGGAAUAAAAAACCAAAUGCCGCAUGUUCUCACUUAUCAGUGGGAGCUAAGCUGUGAGGACACAAACACAUACAAAGUGAUAUAAUGGACUUUGAUGACUGCAGGGUGGGGAGCUGGGAGUGGGGUGAGGGAUAAAAGAUUACAUAUUGAGUGGGUACAGUGUACACUGCUUUAGUGACAGGUGCACUAAAAUCUCAGAAUUCACCACUAAAGAACUCAUCCAUGUAACCAAAAACCACCUGUACCCCCAAAACUAUUAAAAUUUUUAAAAAUAAAAAAGUUAACUUCUAAACAUUAAAUAUACAUAAUAUAAAGUUUACAUUUUAAAAUUAUUUUUAUUCAGCAAUUGUUUUGUUUUAACACCCCUUCUUUCAAUGUUUUCUACUAUAAAAUGUCAAUGUCAGUUAAAGAUCAUUUUAACAUAUCAUUUUAAAACAUAUCAUUUUGUCCCAAUAUAUUGAUUUAUAAUAAUAAUUUUAAAUCAACUUUCUGUAAAAUCUUAUAGUAGAAAAAUGAUUCAUAGUUUAAUAUUAUGGUCACUUGUUACUAAUUAAAAAUAUGUAAAUAUGUAUUCUUAAAAAUAGAGAAUAAUACCAUUUCAGGAAUUCUGAUUAUUUGUUCUGAAAUUUCAAAGAUUACUAUCUGCUGGGAAUUUGGAAACCCUAUAAUAAUCUAAACCCAGCGACAGUGAAAACCAGGAGGCAGAUGGAGCCCAAAGGAAGAGAUGGAAGGGUCACUCUUGUGUGGCACCUUCCUAUCCUGGCCAGGCGGCAGUGCCUGGGGUAGUCGAAGGGAGCAGCAGUGAGGAUGAGACCUUCAAUUAGAGAAAGGACAAGAAGAGAACGUGGGAAGACCCACACUCGGGCCCACUUUGGUUAAUCCUCCUUAGUUUCCUUGUAAACUAUUAAGGCAGUUAAAUUUUCAACUGCUUGAAUUUACCUAUUUCAAAGAUUCAGCUUUUCACUUGACUUUGAUUGGUCACCAAGAAAAUAUAAGUAUUAUAGCCAUGUUAUUUUCAAAGAGGAAAGCAUGCCAGUCACUAGAACAGUGAGUGGUAUGUAGCAGGCACUCAGAAAACAUGUGUGAUAUGGGUUGAUCUGAGUCCCUGCCCAAAUUUCUUGUCGAAUUGUAAUCCCCAAUGUUGGAGGUGGGUCUGGUGGAAGGUGGUUGGAUCAUGGGGACAGAUUUCUGCCUUUGGUGCUGUUCUCAUGGUAGAGUUUUCAUGAGAACUGAUUGUUUAAAAGUGUGUAGCACCUCCCUCUCUCUCUCUGGCAUCUGCCCUGGCCAUGUAAUAUGUGCCAGCUUCCCCUUCACCUUUCACUGUUAUUGUAUGUUUCCUGAGGCCUCCCCGGAAAUGGAGCAGAUGCCAGAACCAUGCCUCUUGUACAGCCUGCAGAUCCAUGAACCAAUUAAACCUCUUUUCUUUAUAAAUUACCCAGUGUCAGGUAUUUCUUUAUAGCAAUGCAAGAAGGACUAAUACAAUGUGUUAAACUAAUUACUGGAUAAUGCAAUUCACAGAGGAACAGAGAAUCCUUUUACUUGGGACUGGCCAGUUUCCUGUAAGUCAAAAUUAUGCAAAUCCAAUCAAAUUUUCCAUAAAGAAAAUAUUGUGAUUGAAUUUUAGAUUCUUUAUCAUAACCUUGAAAUCCAUACAACCUCUGUAAAAUUUUAAAAGAUUGUGUCUUUUUUUAGCUUCAAUGAAUUGGAGAGUGAAGCAUCUGCUUUAAUGGGAAAUUUCAAAUUUCUUCAGCAAUAUCGUGAGAAUAAUCUCAGCAGAAGUCAAUAGGAGACUCAGAAGCAUAAGAAUACCUCCUAGAAUUUAAAUAUAAGAAAAACAAAUUGAAGUUAAUAGUCUUAUUUUCUCAUUGUAAAGUUGCCUGCUCAUCUUACUGUGUAUAAAAUUGGGAUCCAGUUAUUCAAAAUCAGUGUGUUUUGUGUGUAUUACUCAGCAGAGUAUUUACCAGGUUUACAAGUGUAGAUCACACAUCUAAGUCAAGGCCUGCCUUAUCACUUCUGGUCACCAACUAAUCCUUAAACUUUUUUUAUUCUAAAAAUAAUUGGGAGUAAAACAUCAACAAGUUAGCUGGACAACGUGUUUAAAGCUUUAAAACCUGCCUUGAAAACUGUGAUAGAUCAGUUUGAAUGCCAGGACUGUCGAUUCAAAGUGCCAAAUGUCUGCUAUAAUAAUUCCUAGCACAUAGGGAGUUCUAUGAGCCAGACUCUGCAUCUCAAGCUCUUCAGAGAUUUUAACUCAACCACUUUUCACAAAACCUUGUUUUUUGUGGAAGAAGUGCAAUUACCUUCCAUAUUUUACAGGGGAGGACACUAAGUAUCAGGGACAUGCAUUUUUUCCAGGCCCCAUGGCUAACACAUGGCAAAGCUAGGUCAACUUGGACGUUGGCCUUCAGAGUCAUUGAACCAUAACCCCUCCCCUCCUGCCUGGACAGCCCCAGAGCCGGCACUGCUGAGUCACAGUGACAAGACUUACCCUCUGGCCUUGAACAGCUCAAACUCUAAUGGAGUAAAUAGAUAAAUAAGCCACUGUGAUGAUAAUAAUAAUAAUAAAAAGUUAAAAAUGGCAAGAUAAGACCAUGAAGCAUGUGGUGUAACAAUUCAGGGAGAUGCCAUAGCUUAGCAGAUAAGAGCACAGACUCAGGACUGAGAUGAGUCUCACUCCAGUGCCAGCUGCAGAGGCUCAGCUGCAUCAGUCUCUCUGCUCUUCAGGGGUCUUAGCUGUAAAACAAGAAUGCUCUUCGUGGGAACUCAGAGAAUGGGCAUGUCAGGUAUUCAGAGCAGUCCUGUAGCCCAGAAAGCCUAAGUCAGUACUAUCAUGAUCAUGGAAGAGUAGAUUAUUGAAGCUGACUUAGAAGAACUGGAAAGACUUCUUGAAGGGCUUUAGAUUUCAGCUGAGCCUUGAAACAAGAGUUGUUAUUUUAAAACAGAAACAAAAAGGAAAAACUCCAAUAGUCUGGAUGCAGCCAACAAAGCACCUUCCAGACAACAGAAGCAGCUGGGAAAUGAAACAACAAACAAACAAGGCAAAGCCACAUCUCAGAACAGGGCAUGUUGUAUGGACUCAUGUACUUGGAAAGUGAGGUUCAGGGAAAUUCCAAGUGAAUGGCAGGAAAUAAAGCUGGAAACCUAAGGAAGGACUAGGCCCUAAGGCAGAGAGAGAUUCUUUAAGUACCUCAGCCCAUAGGGACAAAUCAUCGGUUUUCCUUUUACCUAAACGGAAACAUGUUUCUUGUCUUAGAGAAUUAUGUUUUCUUUUCGGUUUAUUUUCUAUUUUAAAUUUAAAAUUUGAAUUGUAAGCCUAUAGGAUCCCAAGAGUUCCAAACUCUAUAUUUUUCUUACUCCUUUAACUCUGCCUUCAGCAUAUGUCAUGGUAAAAUGUAAAUUAACCUAAAUCUAUACAAUAAAAAUAAAAUAAAAAUUAGACGGG
rnacentral:lncRNA from 10 species